GAUGAACGCUGGCGGCGUGCCUAAUACAUGCAAGUCGAGCGAACAGACGAGGAGCUUGCUCCUCUGACGUUAGCGGCGGACGGGUGAGUAACACGUGGAUAACCUACCUAUAAGACUGGGAUAACUUCGGGAAACCGGCGCUAAUACCGGAUAAUAUAUUGAACCGCAUGGUUCAAUAGUGAAAGACGGUUUUGCUGUCACUUAUAGAUGGAUCCGCGCCGCAUUAGCUAGUUGGUAAGGUAACGGCUUACCAAGGCAACGAUGCGUAGCCGACCUGAGAGGGGGAUAGGCCGCCCUGGAGCUGAGCCACGGUCCAGACUCCUACGGGAGGCAGCAGUAGGGAAUCGUCCGCAAUGGGCGAAAGCCUGACGGAGCAACGCCGCGUGAGUGAUGAAGGUCUUCGGAUCGUAAAACUCUGUUAUUAGGGAAGAACAAAUGUGUAAGUAACUAUGCACGUCUUGACGGUAACUAAUCAGAAAGCCACGGCUAACUACGUG
rnacentral:rRNA from 1 species